AUUGAACGCUGGCGGCAUGCCUUACACAUGCAAGUCGAACGGCAGCACGGGUGCUUGCACCUGGUGGCGAGUGGCGAACGGGUGAGUAAUACAUCGGAACGUACCUUAUCGUGGGGGAUAACGCAGCGAAAGCUGUGCUAAUACCGCAUACGCCCUGAGGGGGAAAGCGGGGGAUCGCAAGACCUCGCGCGAUUAGAGCGGCCGAUGCCUGAUUAGCUUGUUGGUGGGGUAAAAGCCCACCAAGGCGACGAUCAGUAGCUGGUCUGAGAGGACGAUCAGCCACACUGGGACUGAGGCACGGCCCAGACUCCUACGGGAGGCAGCAGUGGGGAAUUUUGGACAAUGGGGGCAACCCUGAUCCAGCAAUGCCGCGUGAGUGAAGAAGGCCUUCGGGUUGUAAAGCUCUUUUGUCAGGGAAGAAACACCGGCUCUAACACAGUCCGGGAAUGACGGUACCUGAAGAAUGAGCACCGGUUAACUACGUGCCAGCAGCCGCAGUAA
rnacentral:rRNA from 1 species